UACAGAGGGGGCAAGCGUUGUUCGGAAUUACUGGGCGUAAAGGGCGCGUAGGUGGCCUUCUAAGUUGAACGUGAAAUCCCUGGGCUCAACCCAGGAACUGCGUCCAAGACUGGGAGGCUUGAAUCCGGGAGAGGGAUGCGGAAUUCCAGGUGUAGCGGUGAAAUGCGUAGAUAUCUGGAGGAACACCUGUGGCGAAAGCGGCGCACUGGACCACAACUGACGCUGAGGCGCGAAAGCUAGGGGAGCAAACAGG
rnacentral:rRNA from 1 species